CUGCGGCAGCGACGCUUAUGCGUUGUUGGGUAGGGGAGCGUUCUGUAAGCCUGCGAAGGUGGCCUGUGAGGGUUGCUGGAGGUAUCAGAAGUGCGAAUGCUGACAUAAGUAACGAUAAAGCGGGUGAAAAGCCCGCUCGCCGGAAGACCAAGGGUUCCUGUCCAACGUUAAUCGGGGCAGGGUGAGUCGACCCCUAAGGCGAGGCCGAAAGGCGUAGUCGAUGGGAAACGGGUUAAUAUUCCCGUACUUGGUGUUACUGCGAAGGGGGGACGGAGAAGGCUAUGUUGGCCGGGCGACGGUUGUCCCGGUUUAAGCGUGUAGGUGUGUGUUCCAGGUAAAUCCGGUUCACUUUAACACUGAGGCGUGACGACGAGGCACUACGGUGCUGAAGCAACAAAUGCCCUGCUUCCAGGAAAAGCCUCUAAGCAUCAGGUAACAUCAAAUCGUACCCCAAACCGACACAGGUGGUCAGGUAGAGAAUACCAAGGCGCUUGAGAGAACUCGGGUGAAGGAACUAGGCAAAAUGGUGCCGUAACUUCGGGAGAAGGCACGCUGACACGUAGGUGAAGUGAUUUACUCAUGGAGCUGAAGUCAGUCGAAGAUACCAGCUGGCUGCAACUGUUUAUUAAAAACACAGCACUGUGCAAACACGAAAGUGGACGUAUACGGUGUGACGCCUGCCCGGUGCCGGAAGGUUAAUUGAUGGGGUCAGCGCAAGCGAAGCUCCUGAUCGAAGCCCCGGUAAACGGCGGCCGUAACUAUAACGGUCCUAAGGUAGCGAAAUUCCUUGUCGGGUAAGUUCCGACCUGCACGAAUGGCGUAAUGAUGGCCAGGCUGUCUCCACCCGAGACUCAGUGAAAUUGAACUCGCUGUGAAGAUGCAGUGUACCCGCGGCAAGACGGAAAGACCCCGUGAACCUUUACUAUAGCUUGACACUGAACAUUGAGCCUUGAUGUGUAGGAUAGGUGGGAGGCUUUGAAGCGUGGACGCCAGUCUGCGUGGAGCCGACCUUGAAAUACCACCCUUUAAUGUUUGAUGUUCUAACGUGGACCCGUUA
rnacentral:rRNA from 1 species